GGCUUUCUGAGCCCAUGAGGCCUCCAUCCUUAUCUCUGUUACCUUGGUGCCCAGGGAAGCCAAGGCAGUGUUGUCUUGUUCUGUUGGUGGUGGUUGGGGGUAGUUUCUUAUAACCUUUAAUCUUCGGAACAACCCUGACCUGAUUGCCCUGUGGGAGCUGUACAGAAUGUCCACCCUUUCUUUUUCCUGACAAUCACUUUCAAAUACUUGAAUAAAAUUCUCAAAUACGAUAGUUAGGGAUGGAUAAAGAGGUGGAACCUGAAGAUGAAUCAUAGCAUUUGGAUUGAUGGAAAUGAGAGCACAGACAUUAUAGAUGUGAAAACAGACUCAAGAGAUGUGAAGUAAUCCAGUUCACUCAGGUAUUAAGUGACAGAGAUUUGAAGGCAGACUUAUGCGAUUCCAAAGGAUAUGUUUUCUGCGCUAGCCUAGGCUGCUUCUUGGCUACGUAAAGCAUUGAGGCGGGGAGCAGGGAAAUGGAGAAGGACAAGCGACUCUUACCUGAUGCUGUUGUAGUCCUUUCUCUACGGUUGCUACUUCUCCAGACUACUCUCAUUCUCAGCCCACGUAGGAAAUCAGAAGAUAAUUUAAAAUUAAAUGAUGAUGGCUCUGAGCUUAAAGCACUUUGAAAAAGAGAGGAAAGAAACAUAUCACAACUUGACAGGGCUGGGAGUGAGAGUCAGAAGCUUGCCCAGGAUGUCCAGAAGAGCUGCUGGCAGGUUCUCUGACUUUUAGAAGCAAAAAGAGCAUUUGUCAAACUCUGACAAAUCAGAAUUCAAAUUUCUGCUCUGCGACUUAUGAGCCACAGAACCUGGGACAAGUUAGCUUUCUAGGUCUCAGAGUUCACAUCUGGAUAAUGGGAUUAUUUAUUAUUUCACAACAUAGCUGUGAAAUUGAAUGAGGUGAAAAGUAUGUAACAGUGCCGAGCAUAUUGCCUGGUAUAUAACAUGCAUUAAACCAGGGGUUGGCAAACUUCUGUCAAGGGCCAGAUAGUAAAUAUUUUAGGCUUUGCAGGCCUAUCGACUCAAGUUGGCCGUGAUAACAUGAAAGCAGCUGGAGACGAUAUGCAAAGGAAGGAUCAUGGCUGAGUUCCAAUAAAACUUUGUUUAAAAAAGACAAGUGGGCCAGUUUCAGUCUGUGAUCUGUAGUUUGCAAAUCCCAGCACUUAACCGAUAUUACUUUCUUACUUUUCCCCCAAUUUGUCUUCUCUGAGAUUAAGGUUUUUCAUGUGUAUCACAUUGAAAAUAGUACCUACCAAAAGUUUUAUUUAUUUAUUGAGCAUCUGUUGUAUACAAAGGACUGAGUCAAAUGCAAUGAACAACAGAGUGAAUAAAAUUUCCUUCUACCCUUGAGGGGCUUAAAGGAUAACAGAAAGAGCUGAAUUUAUCUCAGCUUGGUCUUCCUAGCCAGAAUAUGGUUGAAGAGUAUUUAUUUCAUGGAGUUACUAUGAAGAUGAAAUAAAGCAUCAUGUUUAAGUGUGGAUGCAGUACCAGCCAUUAGGGAGAAGUGGUUAUUGGACUUAACCUUUUUGCUGUGAAGAAUGUAAAACUGGACAAAAUGUACGAAGAAACUCUUUUCAGACAUUGGACCACAGAGAACACAGGGCUGUGAUGCUUGAGAUAAGGAAAACACCAGAUUUCACUCCAGCUUUCUGCCCAUGACCCCUAGCUAAACCUCAGCACAGCAAAGUGGAGCCCAGUUAAAAAAGAAGUUGAGCCCAAUUAAAAAAAAAGUUUUUAUUCCUUUUUAAAGAAGUGGCUUCACUGGAGAGAGGCAAGACAGAUUAGAGUUUGGGGCCGCUGAUGUAGCUGGAAGUUAUCGAUCAGAUUACUGAGGAGAAGGCAGAUGCACAGAUAACGUGACUUCAGAAAUCUGCACAAGGAUCCCCUUGAGUUUUGAGGUGAAUGGAAAGCUGUGUAUGCACAGAUCAAGGUUCAGUGAGAUUAGGCAGAGAAUAGCUAUUGGAUAACUGUGAACUGGAAAGAAUCUUAGAGGUUGCACAGUGCAGGAAGAUGGGGUUAUAAUGACCUAAAGUGGAGAGACCUCAUAAACACCCUGGGCAUUCAACUGAGAUCCCGGAAAAGCUAUGACUCAAGAGUAAGACUACUCUGGCUCUAGAAGAAGGCCACUCUAGAUCCAUCAUAAAAAAGCUUAAAACCAAGCGUUGAGAGGAUAAAGCUGAUUUGUCAAUAAAUUAAGUGCCUGCCAGAACAAAGCAUAACAGUCUUUAAAGGAAGGCAACAAAAUUCAGACUUAUAUAACAACAUAGAAUCUACAAUCGAAUAUAUAAUAAUAUAUUUGAAGACAUAUGAAGAACUAGGAAAAUGUGGCACUUAACCAGGAGAAAGAUGAGUCAGUAGCAACAGACACAGAAAUACCACAGAUCUUGGAAUUAACAGAUAUGUUGCUCUAUUUUGGGCCACACCCACUUCACCUCCAAUCCCCCAUCCCUGACCCCUGGCAACCACUAAUCUAUUGUCUAUUUCUAUAUGUUGUCAUUGCAAGAAUGUAAUAAAUGGAAUCAUACAGUAGUCAACCUUUUGUUAAUGGCUUUGUUUUGGGGGGGUAACAUUGGUUUAUAACAUUAUGUAAAUUUCAGGU